rnacentral:tRNA from 1 species
GGAGGGUUGCGAUAAUGGCUAUUCGGCUGGUUUCGAAAACCAGUGGGAGUAAUCCCUUGCAGGUUCGAGUCCUGCACCCUCCG